CGCGUAGGCGGCCCGUCAAGUCCCGUGUGAAAGCCCCCGGCUCAACCGGGGAACUGCACGGGAAACUAGCAGGCUUGAGUUCGGGAGAGGGAAGCGGAAUUUCGGGUGUAGCGGUGAAAUGCGCAGAUAUCCGAAGGAACACCGGUGGCGAAGGCGGCUUCCUGGACCGACACUGACGCUGAGGCGCGAAAGCUAGGGGAGCAAACG
rnacentral:rRNA from 1 species